rnacentral:rRNA from 1 species
UAGGGAAUUUUGCGCAAUGGAGGAAACUCUGACGCAGCAACGCCAUGUGUGGGAUGAAGCAUUUCGGUGUGUAAACCACUGUCAGCAGGGAAUAAAUGGUCUCUUCGGAGGCAGUUGAAUGUACCUGCAAAGGAAGCCCCGGCUAACUUCGUGCCAGCAGCCGCGGUAAUACGAGGGGGGCAAAUGUUGUUCGGAAUCACUGGGCGUAAAGGGAGCGUAGGCGGGCUCUUAAGUUAGGUGUUUAAUCCCGGGGCCCAACCCCGGACAGGCACCUAAAACUGGGAGUCUUGAAUAGUGGAGAGGACGGCGGAAUUGGGGGUGUAGCGGUGGAAUGCGUAGAGAUCCCCAAGAACACCAGUUGCGAAGGCGGCCGUCUGGACACAUAUUGACGCUGAGGCUCGAAAGCAUGGGGAGCAAACAGG